AUGAGAUUAUUAUAGAACGAACCUGCUAUCAAACCCGAAGCUUGAUCCUCAGCUGAGGUUUGUAUUGUACAACUCCCAUCAUUGUCUAAAUCCAGAUUCCGUAAAAUCCAAACGUUGAUAAAAAGUUCUCCGAACAUCAGUUGCUAGGUAGCUGGACACGGCUAAUGGACUGUUUAAAGACACUUAUAACCUUUUUUUUUAUCCGUCCGUGAAAAUCACAACAAAAAUAAAUUUUGUUUUAUUGUACAUUCAUUUUUUUAAAAUCCAUCUGUGUAAAUUAUAAUACAAGUAAAUUUUUUUUUUUGUCUGAACCAGGAGGUGUUCUUGAGUGGACUUCAACUGUGGGAGGCACCUUUAAGCUCGUACCACAACCCAGACUAAUCCCCGCUCGUACCGAGUCGACCCGUAAGGGGUAAAGUACUAGCCAAAGUGGUGACUCCAUACGAGAGCGGGACUUGAACCCCUGACCUCAAUUAAAGAGUGAGAAUGCCAAACCACUCACACUAACCAACAUUGGUUACAGUACAAGUAAAUUUUUUAUUGUACAUUUAUUAUUCAAAUUUAUUUUUCUGCAAAAAAAUUAAUUUGGUAAGCACAUUUUUUCAAAUUUGUGGCAUGCGCAUAAAGUAGAGCUCGAAUCUAAAACUUGAGUCGUAGAAAGGCUUCCUUUAUGAUUGGAGCUAAAUCUAGCCUCUAACAUAGUACGUGCCCUUUCUUCAAGUAAAUUCAUGUAAAGCAAACCCUGAGAUGCAAGUAAAAUUGAAAAUGUAAGAAAAUUAACUUACAUGUUUGAGCUUAUUGGAAGCAAUCAAAGAUGAUAAAUUUUUGCUUGAAUUUCCAAUUAAGUUCGUUUCAAAGAAAUCAAUUAGUGAGAGGAUUUUUAUGUGUUCUAAUUAAUUUCUCAAAGACAAAAAAUUUAAUAAAAAGUGUAUGCCGAAAGUAAUUAUGAAGAAUGAUUUUGGUUUUUAGUGGCGCAUGGAAUCAAAGAUAUGGUCGACAUGAUGUUGACAAAAGCAUGUUAUUAAUGGCGUCUUCAAUGUAACUGCAUUUUAUAGGGCACAUUGAAUUCCACUUUAAUCUUUUAAGAAUUUAUUCUUGUGGAAUAAUUCCACUAAAAAUCUUUUAAGAAUUUUUUAUUUAAAUUGUAGAAUUUUCUUGUUAAAAUAAGUAAAGAUGGGGGAGUAAAGGUUAAAAGGCUUGGCAUUUUUUUACUUGAAUUUCCAAUUAAGUUUGUUUCAAAGAAAUCAAUGAAAGGAUUUUCAUGUGUUCUAAUUAAUUUCUCAAACAACAAUUUUAGUCUAAAGCGUGUGCCGAAAGUAAUAAUGAAGAAUGAUUUUGGUCUUUAGUGUAGAAAAGACAUGGUCUAUUUGAUGUUGACAAAAGCUAGCUUCAAUAAUCUACACAUCAAAGAAAGGAUUUCAUAUGUAUCGGAGGGUUUAUCUUUUAUAAUUAAUCACCAGCCAAAUUUUAUACAGUUAAACUUCAUAGUAGAUAAAUUAGGACCAUUCUAUUUAUCAAUUAAUUUUAAGCCAACAAUAUCAAUCGAUUAUUCUUCUGGAAGUGGGGCGGAUUACCAAAUAACAUAGAGUCUUUAACAGCAAAUAAGGAAGGAAAUCAGUCACUGAUUUGAAUUGAAUUACUUACUAUAACCACUUUCGGGCUUUGUUUUACAGUUACAGAGCAUCACUGCCUAUGCGUAUAUUUAUCUAUAUACAAUGUUAUUAAUUACUGCAGCAUCGUCAUCACAAAAGCGAAAAGCUUCUAAGCGACAAUAUUCUACUUGCAAAUUUCCAUCAUCAUUUAGAGUAAUUAAAAUAAUUAAUUGGAAAAAAAAAAGAAAAGAAAGAAAGAAACAAUCGAACAGGCAGAGGCAAAGGGUUUCAUUUCUCGUAUUUAGACAAUGAUAAAUUAAUAAUAAUAUGAGCAAAUCUUGAGAUAUGAUAUGAACGAAAAAGAAGGUUGACAUUGAAGAUAAAGAGAUCACCAUCAAAUGAUAGUCAAACAGCAUAUUAAAGAUGAUCGGUUACUACUUACCUUCUUCAUAGAAGCCUUCUCUACCAGCGUUUUCACGAACAUUUUUGCAACAAAAAUCUCCAGGGAAAACCAAUCACUUCAACUGAAGAUCCAAAACGGCAGUUUCAGAAUUUUAUUCAUUUUUAGGGAAAAAUGAAUAAAAUAUUCUUUUGGAAUAAAGAAAAAGAGCAUAUUCCAAAAUCAAUUUCUACUUAAACUUAUAGUAGUCAUGCAAAAGAGAGAUAGUGAAUGUAUAUCACUGUGCAGAAGUAAACAAAGUAUGCAAGCAUGAUGAAAUAAAGAUCAUGAUAUGUGCCUAUGAGAUUAUUAUAGAACGAACCUGCCAUAAAAAAUGAUGCAGAGACUAACCCGGAAGAAAAGGCCACCUAAGAUGUGAAUUUGCUGUUAUUUGAUUCAACUCUUCGGCAUGGCUCUUGAGGUUUGAAUCAGCCUAUGGCAGGCAAGUGAGCAAGAUAGCUUGAUGCCCUUAUCAACAUUCUUUUUCCAUGAAUCUGAAUCUUUCUGUCGAACAACAUUAAUAAGAAUGCACAUAGAAGUAAUACGGUAUUGCAUGUUAUAAAGGAAAUUAUUAAUUUUGUAAAGUACCUUAGCAAUUCUGCUUUUGCUAACUUUGUUACUGUCUAGACUGCACUCUGUUCCACAGUCGAAAUCAUUCUGCAUUUUGGCACAAUUCCAACGCAUCUUCUAUUUAACAAAAAAGAAAAAAUAAGAAUCAACCAUUGUCAAUUCUUAUCAACAAAGUCUUCAAAUUGACAUUGCGGUCUCUGUUGUUUAAAGGGGAAAAAAAUCGAUAGUUGUGAAUUCUUAUCAACCAAAAUUAAACAUGGGGGUGGAGAAAAGAAAAAUAAAAAUCAAAUGUUGAAUCCUCUUGAUUGUAUCAUGGAUAAAUCUGAUUUAGAUCUGAGUCCAUAUUUUAAGAGAUUCAUCGACCCAUUUUCAGACAUGCCAG
rnacentral:lncRNA from 1 species